rnacentral:tRNA from 1 species
CUCUUAUUAGCUCAAUGGUAGAGCAUGAUACUUCUAAUAUCCAGAUUUAAGUUCGAGUCUUAAAUAAGAAU